UUAGCUCAUAUUUGUAUGGAAUGGGAUUGUUUGCGUACGUUUGCCGCUAGGGGCGCUGUUCCAACUGCAUACAAAAAUGGCUUU
rnacentral:pre_miRNA from 1 species